rnacentral:sRNA from 1 species
AAAAAAAGAAGCAAAAAAU